rnacentral:rRNA from 1 species
UACGGGGGGAGCAAGCGUUGUUCGGAUUUACUGGGCGUAAAGGGCGCGUAGGCGGCCACCGCAAGUCGACUGUGAAAUCGUCCGGGCUUAACCCGGAAAGGUCAGCCGAUACUGCGGGGCUAGAGUGCAGAAGGGGCAACUGGAAUUCUCGGUGUAGCGGUGAAAUGCGUAGAUAUCUGGAGGAACACCGGUGGCGAAGGCGGCUUUCUGGACAAAUACCGACGCUGAGGCACGAAAGCUGGGGGAGCAAACAGG